rnacentral:rRNA from 1 species
AUGCGGCGCGGCCGAAGAAGGGCAAAACAUUCGCGAAGAAGAACAAGGCGGCGGACGGCUCCGACAGCUCGAAGGCGAGGGGAAAGAAGCUUGCAGGGCGUUCGACGGGCGCGGUGGCUACCGAAGCGCCGGCGAGCUCACUCGUUGAGCCGGCCGCCGACGCGCACCACGUGUUAUUUUUUCAAUGCAUCAUCACAUAUAGAUAGCUUAUUUGCAUUGUUCAAAAAACUUUGUAGUCUCAACGAUGAUGCAUACUUGUGAGCUAUGGGUGUUGGGUCCAACAAUUCGCAUUGGUCUCAAACCAAUGACAUCCAUUUUAAAGACCAUGAGUUUGAGGUGGACGAGGAGGGUGAGGGCAUUGUCGACGCGCCGAAAGGAAGAGCGGGCAAUUACACCACCAACGAUGACAAGUUACUAUGCAAUACUUGGUUGCAAGUGUCGAGAGAUCCAUCCGUUGGAGGUGAUCAAAGUAGAGAUGCUUAUUGGGGGCGAAUGAAAGAACACUUUGAUGCUCACAACGUGAGUUGCAUUGACCGCUCCGAGAGAUCACUUCGCUCCCGAUGGUCGACAAUCAACUCAGAUUGUCAAAAGUGGGCGGCCGCACAAAAGGCAGUUGACAAGAUUAACCCAAGUGGCACAAAUGAGGAUGAUAGAGUAAGUGGCAUCUCAUACAUGUUCAUCAUACUUGUUUUUGGUGUCCGAAGUGCUAACUUGUUUUGUUUUUCUUGUAGUACAACAUUGCACAAAACUUGUUCAAAGAAGAGACGAGGACAACCAAGAAGGGGAAGAUCAAGAAAGGAAGGAUCUUCACAUUGCCUCAUUGCUAUGAAGUGUUGA